UACGGGGGGGGCAAGCGUUGUUCGGAAUUACUGGGCGUAAAGGGCUCGUAGGUGGCCAAUUAAGUCAGACGUGAAAUCCCCAGGCUUAACCUGGGAACUGCGUCUGAUACUGACUGGCUUGAAUUCGGGAGAGGGAUGCAGAAUUCCAGGUGUAGCGGUGAAAUGCGUAGAUAUCUGGAGGAAUACCGGUGGCGAAGGCGGCAUCCUGGACCGAGAUUGACACUGAUGAGCGAAAGCUAGGGGAGCAAACGGG
rnacentral:rRNA from 1 species